rnacentral:tRNA from 1 species
CGCCGUCAUGGUCCGGCUUGACCGGACCAUCCACCUCCGACGUCGAUCUCUACGCCGCAGAUGGGUCCUCCGGUCGAGCCGGAGGACGACGGC